GGAAGUGCCAUCCCGGAAGCGGCGCGCGCGGCGUCAUCAGAACAUGGCGGCCUGAGGCGGGGGAGCUCCGUCCCUUCCCCUCCGCAGAUCAGAACAAAGAGGCUGCAGCUCGUUAUCAAAAUGCAGUAUUCCCAUCACUGUGAGCACCUUUUAGAGAGACUGAACAAGCAGCGAGAAGCCGGCUUUCUUUGUGACUGCACUGUUGUUAUUGGUGAAUUCCAGUUCAAAGCACACAGAAAUGUGCUUGCCUCUUUCAGCGAGUACUUCGGUGCAUUUUACAGAGAUGCAUCUGACAAUAAUGUUGUUUUGGAUCAGACUCAAGUGAAAGCUGAUGGAUUCCAAAAACUCCUGGAAUUUAUUUACACGGGAAACUUAAACCUUGACAGCUGGAAUGUUAAAGAGAUUCACCAGGCUGCCGACUAUCUCAAAGUAGAAGAAGUGGUCACUAAAUGCAAAAUCAAGAUGGAAGACUUUGCUUUUAUUGCUAAUCCCUCUUCUACAGAGACAUCUAGUAUCACUGGAAACGUUGAAAUGAAUCAGCAGACUUGCCUUCUGACUCUCCGAGAUUACAACAAUCGGGAGAAAGCAGACACUGCUUCUGCAGAGUUACUUCAACCACAGGCAAAGAAAGCGGCUUUAGAAAAGAAAUCUCCUCAAACCAAAAAGCGGAAGAAGAAUUUCAGCUCCCCCAAAAGCAUACAGAAUAAAUCCAUCCAAUAUCAGAAUGAUGUGACCCAGAACACAUCCAUUGAAAUGUUUUUAGAUGCAAAUAAGCUGGCCACGCAGAUCACGGAACAGGCUGCCCAAGGCAGCGAUAACUCUGAGCUACAGCUGGCAUCUGUGGUGGAAAGCGAAAUGCUGGCAGCGCAGGACAUCCUAGUUCAGACUAUUGCUGCAAAACAGAAACGGGAAAAGCCUCAGCAAAGCUGUGCGCUGAAGGAGCACUGUAUGUCCAACAUAGCCAGUGAAAAGAACGGCUACCAGCUGGAGAGCGCGGGGGAGGAACUCGACCAGAAGUACUCCAAAGCGAAGCCGGUGUGCAACACCUGUGGAAAAGUCUUUUCAGAAGCCAGUAGCCUCCGUCGACAUAUGAGAAUACACAAAGGAGUGAAACCGUACGUGUGUCAGCUUUGUGGGAAGGCAUUCACCCAGUGCAAUCAGCUGAAAACACAUGUAAGGACUCACACAGGGGAGAAGCCAUACAAAUGUGAACUAUGCGACAAAGGCUUUGCUCAGAAGUGCCAGUUAGUGUUCCACAGUCGGAUGCAUCACGGAGAAGAGAAACCGUACAAAUGUGAUGUCUGCAACCUGCAGUUUGCAACUUCAAGCAAUCUGAAGAUUCAUGCCAGGAAGCACAGCGGCGAGAAGCCCUACGUGUGUGAUCGCUGCGGUCAGCGCUUCGCUCAGGCCAGCACGCUCACCUACCACGUGCGUCGGCACACGGGGGAGAAACCUUACGUGUGUGACAGCUGUGGAAAAGCCUUUGCUGUCUCGAGCUCUCUCAUCACCCAUUCCCGAAAACAUACAGGAGAGAAGCCAUAUAUCUGUGGCAUUUGUGAAAAGAGUUUUAUUUCCUCUGGAGAGCUCAAUAAACAUUUUCGGUCCCAUACAGGUGAAAGACCAUUUAUCUGUGAAAUGUGUGGAAAUUCUUACACGGAUAUCAAAAAUCUUAAGAAGCACAAAACGAAAGUUCACACAGGAUCUGAAACUUCCCCUGAUUCUAAUGCACUUGACAAUUCUUUCAAUGAACAAGAAUCCAUUCAGAGUCAGAAAAGUCCUUUAUCAGAGUCCAUAGAUGUGAAACCCUCCGAGAUGUCUUUAGCACUUCCUCUUCCCAUUGGGACUGAAGACCAUCAGAUGCUGCUUCCUGUGACGGGUGGUCAGUCUCCAUCAGAAACAUUGCUAAGAUCUGCUGUGACUGGAUAUUCAGAACCUCAGUUUAUCUUCUUGCAGCAGUUAUACUGACAGUGCAGUACAGAGCCUUCAAGGUAAUUUGGUAGUGAACCUGCAGACGUUUGGUAAGAUGAACAUAAGCAAGCAAGCAGUCACACUUUUUGAAUUGGACUUGUUCUUUUUUAUUCCUCUGUGUAAAGACACUUGUAAGGCAUCUCCAUUGUGCAGUGUUUUUGUUCAAUUGUGCUAAUCUACAAUCAGAUUUCUAUUUGCAAUUAACACUAAUUUCAAGGAGGCGAUUCCUUUCCAGCAACACCUGCCUUAAGAAUUCUCCAUUAAAUAUGUUAAUGUGUUUUGGAGAUCUCCUCCCAUAUUUCUGCUGAUCUGAUGUGUCACAAUGUCCUUUGAGAGCAGACAUUUCAAGCUAUAUUUGGUAGUUUAUUAACCCAGAGGUGUAAGGGGAGAGUAAUUUGAAUGUCCUAACAAGCUUGUACUCCUGCAUUCCAAUGUGAUGGAAGGUUGGCCAGUGCUCUGGUGAGGGCUUGCAAAGAAUUACUGCUGUCUGCCAGAAGCAGCCAUCUUCACUUGAAGUAUGACCGGAGGGAAAGAGAGUUUUGUGUAUAUUUUCCUGACAAGGCAAGUAAAGGAGGGUUAAUUUUUUUCUGUAGUGUGGCAAGUCACACAGUUCUAAUGGCAUAGAUACUACUGGAUAUUCUUUCCAAGUCUCUUGGGUUUGUUUUUGUUUUUGUUUUUUUUCCAAAGUGAAUCCAGCAUUGUUGUAUCUCACCCCAGAUUUAUUCUUCACAUCUCUAAAAUGCCCUGGUUUUGGCACAAACAGCAACAUUUGCUCAAAAGGAGAGGUGGAACACGUGUGUUGUAGAUGAGAUGAAAAGAUGCAUUGACUUAAUUGUGAGGCAUGAAUCACAGCUUCAUAAUCCUUUUUUUACAGUAGUGCUUCUUCUUGUGCUAGUCAGUAGGUACAAAAAAGGAAAUAAAUCCUGCCCUUCACUGUGAAAAUAAGUGAACGCUGCAUGAGGAGGCAUUAAGGAAGAAUACAGCAGAGCAGAUUGAUAUUCUUCCAGGCAAGGUUUAGAUAAAGUACGACUGAUUUGUUUUAAUUGAAGUAAUUAGGUAUUGCUUUACCUCUCACAUCACUUGUCCACAGUAACUGCACAAAACUGGGUAUCAAGCAAGACCCAUGUAAAGAUAGGUUUUAUUACUAGCAAUGUACAUUUUUAAAAAGGAACAUUUUUAGUAUCUGGGAAGGGUCAUUAAUUAAAGACUAGAUGACAAUAGGAGUACUUUUAUAGUGCAUUUGCCAGUUUGUGUAUUAACAUAAUGUAAGUAUUAUUUAAGUAAUUGUCAAAUAGUAAGGAAACAGACACAAUACUGUACCAACAAUGCAUUUAAAGAUAUUAUUUGUUGGUUAUUUACUUGGUGCUAGCAUUUUAUUUCCACUGAUGCCUUGUGUCCAGACACUGAUAAAUGGAAGAGCAUAGGAGAUACCUCUGAACUGACUCUGUUCUACAUGGAGUAAUAAUUAAUCUGCACCUUAAUUAAACAGACUUGUGAAAAAAUUCUUGGAAGAUUUCAUUUAAAUAUUCUGCAAAUGCUCCCUUGACUCCUGAGCAUAACUAUAGAUUGAUUAUUUUAUUUUUUCCCUCUUCCAACAUGUUUGUACUUGUAAACUAAUAGACCUUUUGCUUCUCUGUGUUAAUCAUCUUAUUCUUGAUCAUAUUGUAUGCUUUAAUAUAUGGCAGAUUUGCUGAUAAAUUCUACCAUGGACAGCAAGGAGUACAGCCAUGUUCACCAGGAACAUUCUUAGUGCAGGCAUCUCUAACUCCAUCCACUGGAGCUAGUUAUUGCCGUACCUGCCUGACUCUUAUUUUUUUUCACUUAUCUAUAACUACAACAUUUAUGAACAGCUGAUGUCCUUCAUAAUGCUGGAAAAGGACAAUUGGUUUAAGUUCUCUGAUGUUGGGUUGUUUUCUGUUUGUUUGGCAUUCCUCUUUCCCUCCUCCCUUUUCUUCUUUAGCUUCUGUUAUUGAUGUAGGAUGAAGGAUUCCUUAGCCUUGCUGUUUGACUGAAGAACCAUAAAGAUUGAGAUCUUGACUCUGUUAAAAAAACAAACUUUGUGUAGCUUGUCCUAAGGUUCCUCUUUAGGUUCCUCUUUACUUUCUCUCUCAGAAAAUAGAGCAGAAGUCUUGGGAUAGACAUAGGUUUGGUCAUGAAUAUGAAAAAAGAACAAUAUCAUACAACUGACAAAUUUCGUAUUUAAACAGCUUUGGAAGAUAAAACAAUGAUGUGCUGCUGUUAUCUGAGGAAAAGUAUCUGAAGAUUAACAUAUCCAGAAUAAAUGACCACAAGAGAAAACUAGCUCUGGAAAAAAAAAAAAAAAGAAAAAAAAAGAAAAUAAAAUUAAAAUCACAUUCCUACAUAGAAAAUGCAUUCCAUAACAAUGUUUGUUUGGACUGUUUUUAUAUUUCUAAAAUUAUAGCUUAUUACUGUAUUCUUAGAUUUCAGACUUUUUUAAAAAAUACAGUGCUUAGAUUUAUACAGGAUUUGUUUAGAUACUUAUAACAGUGACACUUGCUUUAUUAGUCAUUUAGUUUUCUUUAUAGACAAGAAGAUAAUCAUUAUUUUUUACAAGACAACAAUUUUAACCUUUCUUAAUAGAAUACACAGGCUCGUAGUUUUGUCUUGGAGCAAUAAUUUAGUGACCUGCACUCUUGAGUCCCCAUCUGAGAGUCUUGAUUUUUAUCCUCAUCUUUCAUGAAGAUAUCUCAGCUGCUGAGGGGUAGCAACAAAAGGAGGAGGGAAGCAGUCUAACAUAACCACCAUCAAACACCCUGGCAGAAGGACGCCCGGUCGCCCUCAGCACAGCUUCCUAACACAGCAAGGACUGCUACAUUUUCUUCUUGACAGUAAACACACCUGAUUUUUCUCAUAGAAGAUAUUUUGGGUCUGUUCAACCUAGAUUAAACAAAAACCUUAUUCUAAAUACAACCUAGUGUAAUGACUCAGGUUAUUUUUUUUGCCACUUGUUUUGAGAUGUUUGGGGUGAGGGGGUGGGAGGAGUUGUUUGUUUUGGGGUUUUGCUGGAUUUUUAGAAAGUGCUUUGAAGAUGUACUUUUUAUGCUAAAGUAGAUACAAAUUCUGAUCAAGAAAUUAACUGAGUAUCUUAACUUAUUUUUACUAGAUUGUUUAAUUUUACAGAUGGUGAUAUGGUGGCUGGACUACACAGUAGGACUUAAGGGACUUGCGUUGUACCACUGGCCUCCUGGAUCAGUCGUUUUCCUUUAAAUUGGGGCAAAAAUGCUGCCUUUCAGCAACAUACUGUGAGUUCUGGAAGCUGAAACAGUGGUUUACAGAGCAGGAUUAGGCUUGCUUUAGCUACUAGAGUAACUUGGAAGCACACGGCAAAAAUUUCUAGCCUAUGUAAAUUCUCUCAUUCCAAAGAACACAGAAUACAUCUUUUAAGAACGUCAAGGUUUGGUUUUCAGAGAAAGGAAAGCAAUAAAUGUCUCUGGCAUAGGCCUUUCUAAGCAAUACAGGUUUUUGCACAAAUAAUUAUUUUAGCUUGCAGGAAGCUGUUUAUACAAAAUUCAGUAGGAAUUACGCUGCAGCUCUUUCUUACAAAGGAAUAUCAAACUCUUAACACAUGAGCCAGUUUUAUGGAUAUUGUCAAUAAUGCAGCGUGGUCUUACGGGCCAGCCUGUUCAGACAGAGUACAAAUAUUUCAGAAACACACACUAGCACUUUUGAAAGUAGAUGCCAUUUAUCCUGUUAUAUUUUGUGUAUGAUGUCAUUGCCAGCUUACCAUAUCUAUUAAAAUAACUGCUGUUGGUAGAGUUGGGACCAACAGGGUAGAUUUGGUUCUCUGUUACCACAGUAGAUUAAUAAAUGUCAUUCUUAUAAGUAAAUUAAGACCUAAUUUGGGCAAUGAAAUUAGCCUGAACUUCGUAUACAGGACAAGGGAAAGAAAGAUAUAUGGAAAAAAUAUACCUCUGUCUGAAUCUUGUAAUGGUCUUUUUGGCAAGAAAUUCUAUCAUCAGGGUCUCAGUACUGAGAGUGCACUCUUUAGACCAUCAGAGUAUAACCUGCAAUGCUCCAGAGCAGCGGCACUGAGAAAAAUACCAAUUCUUACAAUACAGGCUUACCUAAUUAUUUCGAAACUCAGGAAUUUUCACAGUACGUAGAUUCUUCUCAAACUAUCACAUCGAGUGUAUCCUCAACUUCUGUUGUCAUUGCUCUGUUCUUCCUGUUUAACAAGUUAAAAUAUAAGCUCCUCUCUAGUAUAGGGUUUUCACAGACAUACGGACUCUGUACUUAACAAGAUGACUACAGGUUAAGGUGUAGAACAAACAUACCUGCUCUGUGGGCUUACCUCUAAGUGCUCUUACAAUGGUAAGUGCUUUUUGGAGCAACAGAACCUGACUAAUUUGUGUACGAGGGUGGGGGGAAUGGAAAAAACCCCAUCAAACACCAGAAAACCUCCACAUGCAACAACUCUCAGGACCACCGUGGUCAUUUCAGCUUGAUAAGUGGUACCCAUACACCUCCCUCUUUCUACACUACCACUGUGAAUAAUACAGAGUCACAACAGCAGCAGUUACAUUAUUGCUUAUAGGGUAUUAUUGCUGAAAUUAUUUUCUUUUUCCCCUCAUGCUUUGAUCUUGUCAGUCUUUUGCCUGCACACACCUACAUUCAUGGAUUAUGCUGUUACUUUAGAUUAAUUUUUAACGGGCACAGUUAGACAUGCAGAAGACUGCACUGGCAAAAGCCUUUGUACAUAACUCUGCUGUGCUAUUUGGUGACUUUUUCUGUUUAGGAGCAUAGAUCUAGUCAAUUCUACAGGUAUGAGCAGAGCGGGUGGAAAAAGGAAACAAGCUGAGUGAUUCCCAAACUUCUACGAAUUCUGUAUUGAAACCAUUAAACAAUGUUUAACUACCA